rnacentral:rRNA from 1 species
GACGAACGCUGGCGGCGUGCCUAAUACAUGCAAGUCGAACGCAGUGGGGACGGGUGAGUAACCCGUGGGUAACCUCCCAUCAGAGGGGAUAACACUUGGAAACAGGUGCUAAACCGAUACUGAUGGAUGGACCCGCGGUGCAUUAGCUAGUUGGUGAGGUAACGGCUCACCAAGGCCACGAUGCAUAGCCGACCUGAGAGGGUAAUCAGCCACACUGGGACUGAGAAACGGCCCAGAUUCCGACGAGAGGCAGCAGUAGGGAAUCUUCGGCAAUGAGCGAAAGUCUGACCAAGCAAAGCCGCGUGAGUGAAGAAGGUUUUCGGAUCGUAAAACUCUGUUGUAAGAGAAGCGGUAUCUAACCAGAAAGCCACGGCUAACUACGUGCCAGCAGCCGCGGUAAUUC